rnacentral:rRNA from 1 species
GAUGAACGCUGGCGGCGUGCCUAAUACAUGCAAGUCGAGCGAACUGAUUAGAAGCUUGCUUCUAUGACGUUAGCGGCGGACGGGUGAGUAACACGUGGGCAACCUGCCUGUAAGACUGGGAUAACUUCGGGAAACCGAAGCUAAUACCGGAUAGGAUCUUCUCCUUCAUGGGAGAUGAUUGAAAGAUGGUUUCGGCUAUCACUUACAGAUGGGCCCGCGGUGCAUUAGCUAGUUGGUGAGGUAACGGCUCACCAAGGCAACGAUGCAUAGCCGACCUGAGAGGGUGAUCGGCCACACUGGGACUGAGACACGGCCCAGACUCCUACGGGAGGCAGCAGUAGGGAAUCUUCCGCAAUGGACGAAAGUCUGACGGAGCAACGCCGCGUGAGUGAUGAAGGCUUUCGGGUCGUAAAACUCUGUUGUUAGGGAAGAACAAGUACGAGAGUAACUGCUCGUACCUUGACGGUACCUAACCAGAAAGCCACGGCUAACUACGUGCCAGCAGCCGCGGUAAUAC